GCUGACAGAAAUGCAGGCCAUGUGACAACAGCAAUGGCGUACACGAGAAGGCGCAACAACGACCAUGAGGACAGCAGAAUCUAAACAACGGAUAGGUGUUCUCAAAUAUAUAACUGGACAUCCGACGGAUUUUCUUUUCCUGAUAUUAACGCAUAUAUGGAGAAAGGGACAGAAACUACAGUAAGUGAUUUCAAACAUUAGUUUGGUGAUAGCCAUUACCAGUGCAAGAAUUAACCUGGUGUGUGGACCAAGCCUUCUACCCCACCUGCUUGUGUUCAUCCUGAGCAAUGACUGAAGGUGGAAAAACUAGCUUAGGUACAUCACCAUCCAUGCGGCCUGGUCAGCGAGGAAUUGAGCAGGAUUCAUCAGUAGGUGAUGGCGGAUCAGGAGGAUGGGAGAAUGUUUCUUGGAUUAAUUAGAAGGUGAUAUAUAGCGGGUCAGGUGGGUAGAAAAUUGUUGCUUGCAUGGAUUCAUCAGUAGGUGAUGACGGGUCAGGUGGAUGUGAGAAUGUUGCUUGGAUUCAUCAGUUGGUGAUGGCGGGUCAGGAGGAUGGGAGAAUGUUGCUUGCAUGGAUUCAUCAGUAGGUGAUGGCGGGUCAGGUGGAUAGGAGAAUGUUGCUUGGAUUCAUCAGUAGGUGAUGGCGGGUCAGGUGGAUAGGAGAAUGUUGCUUGGAUUCCUCAGUUGGUGAUGGCGGAUCAGGUGGAUAGGAGAAUGUUGCUUGGAUUCAUCAGUAGGUGAUGGCGGGUCAGGUGGAUAGGAGAAUGUUGCUUGGAUUCAUCAGUUGGUGAUGGCGGGUCAGGUGGAUAGGAGAAUGUUGCUUGGAGGACAUCUGCAUGUGAUUUACUGGGAGAUGAGGUCUGGUGCCCGUAUUGACCAGCCAAUUCGAUUUCCGUUUGGACAUGUUGGAGAGGACCCAGAUUUACUAUGAGAAGGAGAAUGAUCGAGGUGGACUUAGGUCGACAAAUAUAUGCCCUAUCAUACAGUCUUGAAACAACUCAGUAAAAUUGACUAGACCAGUAGUCAGCUGGGUGCAAUUUAUAUGUCUAGUCACACUUCUGAAUUAUAUUCUAGUCAGAAUUACUGUUCUAGUCACAAAAUACGACUACAAAAUAAUAAAAUAUGACUAGAAUAACAGUUGCACCUAGCUGACCCUCUAGUCAUUUUUGACUGAUUUGUGUUUAGAAUGUACCGAUACCUUGGUUGGAAAGUUCACCCGAUGCAGUCUUAUCAUGGUGAGGGGUGAUCAUCUAGGAUCCAUAAUGGUCUCCCACCAAUCCAUGACCAAGGAGUUUUGCGUUACAUGACGGGAAAGUAAUAAAACAGGAUUCCAUGGAAUAAAACGCUAUUCUGAAGAAAUAAAAUGACCUUUCUUUACAAUGCGUUCUGGAAAAAUUGCAUUCUGUCAGUUUUUAUCGUCCGCGUGGACGUUCCCGUGCUGUAACGUAAUGUCUUUUAGAAUGAAGAAGUAUUAAGUUAUUUUUUUAUGUCACACAAUAUUCGUUUCAGGCUUAUACUUUGUGUUUCAGCAGAAACACCAAUCUAUGGCGAUCUCAUAAACACUGGUUUUCACGGGGCUUUUGCGGACGUUUUGUGAAGGAUUUUGCAAGGACACGAAUGUUGAAUACGGAAAGUUCAACAUUUGCAUCAGUGUUUCCUAAACUUAAAACCAAAGUUCCCGAAACUGAACUCCAAAUUUCCAGGAAUGCGGGAAAUUUCCUUCAACAUUGUGCGCCAAAAUGGGCGCCAAUUUGGUGAAAGCAAUUCGUUCGCUUGGCGUCUUAUCUUGUUCGCGAGAAGUUUGUAUUAUAAAAAUACUGGCGAAAUUCUGUUUCUUUCUAAGACGUCCGUAAGCCCCGUCAAAAUACUUUAAGGAAUACUUGUUGAGGGGGAAUGUUUCGAAUUAGUAUUCCGAAACUUUUAAGGCACUGUUUUGUAAAGCUAUAUAGGUCGCUUUGCUUCGAUCCUCGCGAAAUAAUUCACAAUGCAGAGACUGUAGCAUCAGUAGGCACCCCUGGAAGUUCUAAAACUACAUUUUCACAGGCGUAAUCGGGUUCAGUAUUUGCAUUAUUCUUAAAGGUUAAGCAUUCAUUUAAAAGCAUAUUGCCUGAGGGCAGUAAUUUGAAAUGUUACAAGAAACAUUAAAGAUAAAAGAAAUGUCAGAAUUUAUAUUACGAAGGUAAAUGUUGUAGAAAUGAACCUUUGAUAGUUCAAAAUUUCAAAAUCUUUUUUAACCCAGUCGCUUCGCUCCCUCGUACAAUAUUUUUCCUGUCAGGAUCUCAUAACAUUUUUCAGCACUUGAACGUAAGAUAAAGCUGAUCUUUUGAUAGGCCUAAAUCCCCUAAAAGUGCAUUGUCACUACUCCAAAUUCAUUAAUUUUUCUUAUAUGAAUAUGUAUGCCCCAAAACGGUCAUGAAAAUACAAAAUCGAAAUUUAUUUUGAUAAGGUGUCCGAUAAAAUCUUGUUAUCUUUUUAAUAUUAAGUUUGUAAAUUUGUACCUAGUAAGUGCUUAGUUAUUUUUAGAUUAAAAACACAACAUUACUUAGAGAGAUGGCAAAGAGAGUGUACAAAUAUAUUCCUAACUUGAAUUAUUUGGACUGAAAGAAUACCAAAUUAACAUUUUACAAUUUUAAAUGUUCAAUUUAGUUAUUAUAGUCAUGAUAGUUAUUCAUAUUUUAGUAUACUCCCAAUAAGAUUUACUAUGAAUUAUGC